rnacentral:rRNA from 1 species
AGCGAACGCUGGCGGCAUGCUUAACACAUGCAAGUCGAACGGGCGGAUCUUCGGGUUCGUCAGUGGCGGACGGGUGAGUAUCGCGUAGGGAUUUGUCGUUGGGUGGGGGACAACCUUGGGAAACCGGGGCUAAUACCGCAUGACGCCCUCUUGUGGGGCCAAAGCCUCUGGGUGCGAGCCUGGGGGUGCCUGACGAGGAGCCUGCGUCCGAUUAGCUAGUUGGUGGGGUCAUGGCCACCAAGGCUGCGAUCGGUAGCUGGUCUGAGAGGAUGAUCAGCCACACUGGGACUGAGAGACGGCCCAGACUCCUACGGGAGGCAGCAGUGGGGAAUC